rnacentral:rRNA from 1 species
AGUGAACGCUGGCGGUAGGCCUAACACAUGCAAGUCGAACGGCAGCACAGUAAGAGCUUGCUCUUACGGGUGGCGAGUGGCGGACGGGUGAGGAAUACAUCGGAAUCUACUUUUUCGUGGGGGAUAACGUAGGGAAACUUACGCUAAUACCGCAUACGACCUACGGGUGAAAGCAGUUGAUCUUCGGACCUUGCGCGAUUGAAUGAGCCGAUGUCGGAUUAGCUAGUUGGCGGGGGAAAGGCCCACCAAGGCGACGAUCCGUAGCUGGUCUGAGAGGAUGAUAAGCCACACUGGAACUGAGACACGGUCCAGACUCCUACGGGAGGCAGCAGUGGGGAAUAUUGGACAAUGGGCGCAAGCCUGAUCCAGCCAUACCGCGUGGGUGAAGAAGGCCUUCGGGUUGUAAAGCACUUUUGUUGGGAAAGAAAAGCAGCAGGUUAAUACCCCGCUGUUCUGACGGUACCCAAAGAAUAAGCACCGGCUAACUUCGUG